UACAGAGGGUGCAAGCGUUAAUCGGAAUUACUGGGCGUAAAGCGCGCGUAGACGGUUACAUAAGUCGGGUGUGAAAGCCCCGGGCUCAACCUGGGAAUUGCAUUCGAGACUGCGUAGCUAGGGUGCGGAAGAGGGAAGCGGAAUUUCCGGUGUAGCGGUGAAAUGCGUAGAUAUCGGAAGGAACACCAGUGGCGAAAGCGGCUUCCUGGUCCAGCACCGACGUUCAGGCGCGAAAGCGUGGGGAGCAAACAG
rnacentral:rRNA from 1 species